rnacentral:rRNA from 1 species
ACUGGAUCGGAGGGACCCUCAUAUCCUUCUGGUCGAACCGAAAGAGUUAAGUGCUCUGCCUGGGGAGUAUGGUCGCAAGGCUGAAACUCAAAGGAAUUGACGGGGGCUCACACAAGCGGUGGAGGAUGUGGCUUAAUUCGAGGCUACGCGAAGAACCUUAUCCUAGUCUUGACAUGCACGGAUUAACUCUUGGAAACAGGAGCCAGGCCUUCGGGUACAACGUGCACAGGUGCUGCAUGGCUGUCGUCAG